AUUGAACGCUGGCGGCAGGCCUAACACAUGCAAGUCGAGCGGAGGAAGGGAGCUUGCUCCUGGAUUCAGCGGCGGACGGGUGAGUAAUGCCUAGGAAUCUGCCUGGUAGUGGGGGAUAACGUCCGGAAACGGGCGCUAAUACCGCAUACGUCCUGAGGGAGAAAGAGGGGGAUCUUCGGACCUCACGCUAUCAGAUGAGCCUAGGUCGGAUUAGCUAGUUGGUGGGGUAAAGGCCUACCAAGGCGACGAUCCGUAACUGGUCUGAGAGGAUGAUCAGUCACACUGGAACUGGGACACGGUCCAGCCUCCUACGGGAGGCAGCAGUGGGGAAUAUUGGACAAUGGGCGAAAGCCUGCUCCAGCCAUGCCGCGUGUGUGAAGAAGGUCUUCGGAUUGUAAAGCACUUUAAGUUGGGAGGAAGGGCAGUAAGUUAAUACCUUGCUGUUUUGACGUUACCAACAGAAUAAGCACCGGCUAACUUCGUG
rnacentral:rRNA from 1 species